rnacentral:rRNA from 1 species
AUGCACGGACACGGCUCACUCUCAAUGGAGCUACCACCAUGGGCGCCCUUCCUCGGCGUCGCGCUCGCCACCGUGCUCUUCCUCGAGGCCGUCUUCCGUCGCAGCCGUCAGGCAUACAACCUCCCGCCGGGCCCUAAACCGUGGCCGAUCAUCGGCAACCUGAACCUCAUGGGCGCGCUCCCGCACCGCUCCAUCCACGCGCUCUCCAAGAGGUACGGCCCUCUCAUGUACCUCCGGUUCGGAUCGUUCCCCGUCGUGAUCGGCUCGUCGGUUGAGAUGGCCAAGUUCUUCCUCAAGACCCACGACAUGGUGUUCCUCGACCGGCCCAAGAUGGCCGCCGGCAAGUACACGACGUACAACUACAGAGACAUGACCUGGUCCCCGUACGGCGCCUACUGGCGCCAGGCGCGCAAGGUGUGCCUCACCGAGCUCUUCAGCGCCAAGCGGCUCGAUUCAUAUGAGUACAUCCGGAGCGAGGAGAUGCGCGCGCUCCUGCGAGACCUGCACGAGGCCUCCCGGUCCCGGCGCGCCGUGGUGCUCAAGGACUACUUGUCCACCUUGAGCCUGAACGUGAUCACGCGCAUGGUGCUGGGCAAGAAGUACCUGCACAGGGAGGCAACGGACGAAGGGGGCUCCGGCUCCGCGACGACCCUGGCGGAGUUCAAGCGGAUGGUCGACGAGUGGUUCUUGCUCAACGGCGUGCUCAACAUCGGCGACUCCAUCCCGUGGCUGGACUGGAUGGACCUGCAGGGGUACAUCAAGAGGAUGAAGAAGCUGAGCAAGAUGUUUGAUCAGUUCCUCGAACAUGUCGUGGACGAGCACAACGACAGACGCCGAGUCGAGGGGGAGAGCUUCGUCUCCAAGGACAUGGUGGAUGUGCUACUCGAGAUAGCCAGAGACCCCAAUCUUGAGGUGCAGAUCGACCGGGAUAGCGUCAAGGCUUUCAUUCAGGACCUCCUCGUCGGCGGCACGGAGAGCUCGGCGGUCGCAGUCGAGUGGGCGAUCUCGGAGCUCCUGAAGAAGCCGGAGGUGUUGGCCAAGGCGACCGAGGAGCUGGACCGCGUGGUGGGGCGAGGCCGCUGGGUGACGGAGAAGGACAUCCCGAGCCUCCCCUACGUGGAGGCCAUCGUCAAGGAGACGCUGCGGCUGCAUCCGGUGGCGCCGAUGCUGACUCCCCGGCUGUCCCGCGAGGAGGCUUCCGUCGGUGGCUACGACAUCCCCGUCGGCACGCGCGUGUUCGUCAACGUGUGGUCCAUCGGCCGCGACCCGGCGGUGUGGACUGCGCCGGAGGAGUUCACGCCGGAGCGGUUCCUUGGCAGCAAGAUGGACGUCAAGGGGCAGGAUUUCGAGCUGCUGCCCUUCGGGUCCGGCCGGCGGAUGUGCCCCGGGUACAGCCUCGGGUUGAAGGUGAUUCAGGCGAGCCUCGCCAACCUGCUGCAUGGUUUCGCCUGGAGGCUCCCGGACGGCGUGGCGACGGACGAGCUCAGCAUGGAGGAGACCUUCGGUCUGUCGACGCCGCGCAAGUUCCCGCUAGAGGUCGUGUUAAAACCCAAGCUCCUCGAUCACCUCUACACAGCGGGUCAUCGAACCCAAUAA